GGUAGUUCUUGGUUGAUGCACCUCAGAAUCAGGCUCCCUCCUCUGUGGUUCUGGGUGUGUUACCUGAGAACGGCA
rfam:Myotis lucifugus cont2.68802, whole genome shotgun sequence.